CAGCAGCCGCGGUAACACGUAGGGUGCGAGCGUUAAUCGGAUUUACUGGGCGUAAAGCGUGCGCAGGCGGCCCGUUAAGACAGGUGUGAAAUCCCUGGGCUCAACCUAGGAAUUGCGCUUGUGACUGGCGGGCUCGAGUACGGUAGAGGGGGGUGGAAUUCCUGGUGUAGCAGUGAAAUGCGUAGAGAUCAGGAGGAACACCGAUGGCGAAGGCAGCCCCCUGGGCCUGUACUGACGCUCAUGCACGAAAGCGUGGGGAGCAAACAGGAUUAGAGACCCCAGUAGUCCCUGUCUCUUAUAC
rnacentral:rRNA from 1 species